AGUGAACGCUGGCGGUAGGCCUAACACAUGCAAGUCGAACGGCAGCACAGUAAGAGCUUGCUCUUACGGGUGGCGAGUGGCGGACGGGUGAGCAAUACAUCGGAAUCUACUUUUUCGUGGGGGAUGACGUAGGGAAACUUACGCUAAUACCGCAUACGACCUACGGGUGAAAGCAGGGGAUCUUCGGACCUUGCGCGAUUGAAUGAGCCGAUGUCGGAUUAGCUAGUUGGCGGGGUAAAGGCCCACCAAGGCGACGAUCCGUAGCUGGUCUGAGAGGAUGAUCAGCCACACUGGAACUGAGACACGGUCCAGACUCCUACGGGAGGCAGCAGUGGGGAAUAUUGGACAAUGGGCGCAAGCCUGAUCCAGCCAUACCGCGUGGGUGAAGAAGGCCUUCGGGUUGUAAAGCCCUUUUGUUGGGAAAGAAAAGCAGCAGGUUAAUACCCCGCUGUUCUGACGGUACCCAAAGAAUAAGCACCGGCUAACUUCGUG
rnacentral:rRNA from 1 species